CGUCGAUCUUUACUUCCAAAAUCAUACAAUUUCCAACUCAGAAAUACAUCAAGAUCUUUUGUGACAACAGAAAGAGUUCCUGUGUUGCAUUACCCACAAAAAAGAGGAAAGAACCAGGAGGGAGAACCGCCGCCCCAGUCCGGCCUCCACCUCCGCCAUUUUCCACAGGGAGACCCCGAGAGAGACACACUUUCCUCCUCCGCCAAGAUGUUCGCCGCUAGGAAUGCCGUAAGCAGGAUCGCACAGGCCAGCAACACCAUGGUGAUGGCGAAGAGAACUAAUGUCAUCUCUGGACCACCGAAGAAUAAGAUUAGCACUUUGGAGAAGGCUAUUCAUGGUGUUGGCAUUGCUGUCGGACUAUGCGCUAUCCCCGCUUGGGUCUUGGCAAACAUCAAGCACUACCGUGGCCGUGAUGAAUAAAGCAGACCUUAUCGAUCUACAAUAACAUGCAUCUUGAAUUGUAAAAUAGUAACAUUCACAUGGUUGAUAUAUCCUUUACGAAAUGUCUCCUUCAUUCCAUACAAGAUGAAAAUUGUGGAAAAUCAUUUUGUAAAUAAUAAAUUAUAGAUAAAAUACAA